rnacentral:lncRNA from 1 species
AUGGGUAUGCACUGCAGGCAAUGGUGGGAUGCGGGGAAUCGAGGAAUGCAUCAGCUAGGAUGUGUAGACAUUUUGAAUUGCUGGCAAUCCCCCCUGGGCUGCUGCAGGAAAAAUGAGAGACCCAGGGAGCUGCUGACAGCCCACUCACUGGAUGAUCGGUUUCUUUCUGAAAUGAAGAAAGUAAAACAACAUUCAGCAGUGAUGAAAAGAAGUAAAAGAGCAGCCCUGAACUAUCACUUCUCUCAGUGUUCCAGAGAUUGGCUUGGUGCCCAAUGCAAAAUUACAUCUGAACUCUCACACGCAGAGCCUGAGCAGCUGAGAGAGAAAUGCUGGGGUGGGCAGGGACUCUCAGAGCAGUACUGCUGUUUUCAUUUGAUCCUAAAAGUUGUUCAGGAUCCUGACCCAAGGAUACGACCAUUACAAAGAGAAAUAUUACUGUGUGUUCUUCUUUGUGAAUUUAGUGCUGGUCAAAGGUUCUGGAGUUCCCAUGUUGGAGACUGAAAUCCUGCUUUGAUCCAAGAGAAGGUACAAGCUACACGGAUUUUCUAUCUUCCUCUGAAGCAUCUGGUACUGGCCAUUCUCAGGGUAUGCCUGCACUGCAGUCAUGGGGUGUGACUGAAGCUCAUGUAGACAUAGUCAAGCUAGUUUCCAUCUAGCUAGCUUAGUUAUCAGAGCAGUGAAGCCUCAGCACUUUGGCCUUCAGUUGGGGUGUACAAGCCUGGACUCUGCACGUUCAGUGAUCUGGUACCUGAGCUAGCUAGACAAAGGUAGCUCGGGUAGGUCUACACAAACUGCAGUCACACCCCAUGACUGCAAUGUAGACGUACCCUCAGAGAUAGGAGGCUAGACUAGACAGACCACUAGUCUUAACAAGUAUGACAAUUCCUCUCUCUUCUGAGAUGGCUCAAAGAUAAGAGUACAAACCAAUUCCAAGGCAGGGGUGGCAUUUCUCUGUGAUAGGAGUCACUAUUCCAGUAGGCUCUGAAAUGAGAUCCUUCCUCAAAUAUAUUCCUUUAAAUCCUCAUUGAAAUCUCCAUUUAACACUCCACCCCCAAAUCCAAUAUUUAAAAAUCAGUUCCUCCUGUCACUUGCUUAUCAAACACUGACAAGUUCAGGGGUCUGUGUUUUUACUGCAAUAAGAGAUAACUCCACUGACCUCCUAAUGUACUGUAGGUAGCUGCUCUUUAUGCUCCUUUAGGCUCACUGUAUGAGGAACCAUCAACACCCUGGAGUCACCUCUUGUCAAGAAAAAGGCGAUUUUAUUUUUGUUUUUUCCCCAUUUUAAAUUUAAUUUUCUUUUUAAUUUGAGCUUUAAAAAGUCUCAGAGAAGUACCAGCUCUCAGUUGCUUGAUGAUGAAAUUUCAUUAGGCUAAGACAACAUUUUAGGACUUGUUUUAAUCAUUUCUAGUGCUACUGCUUUCUGCAGGAAAGGAGUCUCUCAAAUGUUAGAUAUUGCAGAGUGCAGUGGAGACCUCCCUCAGCAGGAUAUGAAAAAAGAUCAUGGACUUCACUGACAGUUACUUGUACCUUGCCAUGGGGUGGAAGUAGAGAGAGAAUAGGGCUCCCUGAUGAAAUGGUCUGAACUUGCCAAUCACAGAAACACUGAGCGGGCUGCCUUCACUUACACAGAGAUAGACCCAAAGCGGUAAUACCCCAGUAUGAAGUGACGCUGAAUCACUUGGCAAACAGCAGUGAUACCAGCCUCUAAGAGCUUAGUUCAAAAUAAAAGCAUGACCUUUAUUUCCA